UACAGAGGGGGCAAGCGUUAUUCGGAAUUAUUGGGCGUAAAGGGCGCGUAGGCGGCUUUUCAAGUGACGGGUGAAAUCCCUCGGCUUAACCGAGGAACUGCCUGUCAGACUGGAAGGCUUGAGACCGGGAGAGGUGAGUGGAAUUCCCAGUGUAGCGGUGAAAUGCGUAGAUAUUGGGAUGAACACCAGUGGCGAAGGCGGCUCACUGGACCGGAACUGACGCUGAGGCGCGAAAGCUAGGGGAGCAAACAGG
rnacentral:rRNA from 1 species